rnacentral:rRNA from 1 species
UACGAAGGGGGCUAGCGUUGUUCGGAUUUACUGGGCGUAAAGCGCACGUAGGCGGAUCGUUAAGUCGGGUGUGAAAUCCUGGAGCUCAACUCCAGAACUGCCUUCGAUACUGGCGAUCUAGAGUCCGGAAGAGGUGAGUGGAACUCCUAGUGUAGAGGUGGAAUGCGUAGAUAUUAGGAAGAACACCAGUGGCGAAGGCGGCUCACUGGUCCGGUACUGACGCUGAGGUGCGAAAGCGUGGGGAGCGAACAGG